ensembl:lncRNA
CCUAGAUAGGCUUUGGUUCAAUUUGCACAGAAAGGUAGAAAGCUGCACGCCUUUACUUUAUUCUCCUGGAAUGGUCUGAGGAGAAAAUAGAGACGUCCCUCCUUUAAAAAGCCCCCACGGUGCAGUGUUUUUCUUGUUAAGUACUCCCAGCUUAAUGUGCUGACACUAUUAGCCUGGACUAAACGGGCUAGAUCUGGAUGCUCCACGAGAUCAAGUUCAAAGUGGGUCAGAGGGCUGACAAAAUAUGAAUUUCGCCUUCCCAGCACAGGUAUAGAGCCCCCACACCCACCCUCGCGCCCAGGAGCCCCUCAUCCUGCGGCGCGGACGCCCCUCUUCGGCGGGCAGCCUGGGAGAAGCGGGCCUUUGGAAUGCGCUCUGGGAAAGGGGCGAGGACACCGGCCGGUCUCGCUCCCACGUCCCCGGCCUCCCCCGCCCCGAGCGAGGAAGGCCCGCGCCGGAGGCUGGGGAGGCAGGUCUGCAUUCUUGUGCAGCCAGAUCACGGCCGUCCGGGCGCCCCUUCCUCCCGGCGCUGCUGCCAAGGAGCGGGGGGCGGGAGCGCGCGCCCAGCCCGCGGCCCAGAUGGCCCGGCAGUCCCGAGCGGGGACAUUUUCUCAGGCUUUCAAAAAGAGCACUUUCUUUCCUGCCUAAUAUUUAGCUCCUUCAAAUGCAAAUGGAGAGGUUUCGCUCCAAGUAUUUCUACAGGAAAGCUGAUAUGCCUGUCUUGACAGUGGAACAAGGGCAAUCAUGGAUGGUGCUAUUAUCUACAGGUACAAAGCAUUUGUUUUCAAUACGUGUAGCAGAAUCACCUGAGGGUUGAAAGGAAUGGCUGGGCCUCAUCCCUCAAGUAUCUGGUUGAGUAGGUCUGGGGCGGAGCCUGAGAAUUUCCAUUUCCUGCAAGUUUCCAGGUAAAGUCGAAGCCCUCUUCUCAGGACUACACUGGAGAACUACUAGCCUAAAAGAAUCCUAGAACUGUAUUAUUUUGAGAGAACCUAAUAUGAUAAAAAGGAGUUUCCUUUUUGCAAGAGUAACUUAGAGGAAAACAAUAUCUGCUGACUGCCACUAGGAUGAAGUAAGCUUGAGCAACUAUUCUUAAAUUUAAAUGUUUCUCUAAUCUAGGAUUUUAAAGAUUACUGGUGUAUUUAGGAACUCAAAGUAGGUGAGGUCUUCCUGGUAAGAGAUGAGUGUUAGAAAAACACUCUUUGGCUCUGUUAGCCAGAUAAAUGGGUUCUCAGGGGAUGGUGGCAUAUUAAUGAAACAUAUUUGUUUUCUGAUAUUGAGAUACAUUGAGAUCCACUGCAUGGAAUUUGCCCCUUGUUUGUCUUUGUAAUCAUGUCCCCCUUAUGAAUUACACUAUGAUGUGGUCUCUUCUGUAGUUUUGUUUUGGUUUUUUUUUUCCUCUGAAACCCUUGAGUACAGGCUCACUCUCCUUAUUUAGACCCCUCUUCAAGCCCAAGAGCUGAAAUAAGGCUUCAAAACAGAGAGUUGAGAUUUUCAUAAAACCUUCACUUUCAAAAUGAAAUCUUAGAACUUCCUUUCAUCCAGGAGUUCCCCGAUGGACUAGUAGGUUAAGGACCGGCAUUGUCAUUGCUGUGGUUUGGGUCACUGCUGUGGCGUGGGUUCUCUUCCUGGCCUGGGAACUUCUACACACACUGGAGGUGUGGCCAGAAAAACCCCUCAUUCAUCUACCCUUUUGAUGUGAUCAAACAUACUUAUGUGCUUAUGUUUAGUGUUUAUAUUUGAUCUUCAAUAUGUGCAUUUUCGCAUUUUUAUUUUAAAUUGCAUAUCCUGUGAAGGAGAGACGUUUAAAUUCUGACUUUUCAUAGUGCCUAGCAUAGAGCUGCAUAGAAACAGAUAGAUAAAAACAAAUGAUUUUGGAGUUCCCUAGAGGCUCAGUGGGUAAAGGAUGCAGCUUUGUCCCUGUUCUGGCUCUGGUUACAGCUGUGGCUCAGAUUCAAUCCCUCUAGGAACUUCUGCAUACUAUGGGCAUAGCCAAAAAAAAAAAAAAAAAAAAAAAGAUUUUAAUGACGAAUGGUGAUGUCUCAUUAAGUGGCUUGACACAUUAAGUUAGGGUCUGCUUACAUGGUGCUAAAAAUGUGUAGAUGAAAAUAUAUCUUCUAUAUAAAGUCAUUUGAUCAUGGGCCACAUGUCAUGCUCGUUGAGAGACAAGUGGUCAAUUUAAAUUACAGGAUAACUUUUUUUCAAGUCAUAUUUUUAUGUGCUUUAAGGAACUACAUAGCUCAAGAAAUCAUAUGUGAAUCAUUUUGUAAGGCAAACCAACACCUGAAACUUGAUGUUUUGUCUCAUAGCAUCAGAACCUGCUGGAGAACACUGUACAAGCUGAUAAGGGAGCUUCACCAGUAACCAGUGUUAGCUGCUGGGCAUUGAGGAUGGAGGGCGAUGCUGUUGAAAUACACUUUGUUGAGUAAGUCAUUUUACGCUUCUCUCAUCUACAGGCAUGAGGUGUGGAUGCCCUUUGUGGUUCUUUCUGGAUUACAUAUAUAGCAUCUGUUUUGGGUUCCUCAAUCCACACAAUACAUACCUAAGCAAGAGGGUCAGCAUUGGUGCAGACAGGUGACUCCCAUGAUAAUAUUAACACCUUUUAAAAUGAUUCUCAUCUCCUCUGCAUAUGUUACAGUCUCCUUGGAUUUGUGGAAAAUGCUCUGUUUAUUGUUUUUCAUGGUAAAGGAGCCAGUUUCUUUGAGCAGUUGCUGUUUCUACCUGAACAUUCAAGUCAUUGAGGAGACAUUUAAUUUAGAAACAGAGGAGAAUUUCUUUACCCUUGCCGUUAUCCUAUGUCACAGCUGACUGCUUUAGUGCCAAUAAAAUGCUAGGGGCUCUGGUUUUUACUGGGCA